rnacentral:lncRNA from 1 species
CGGUAUCUCUAAAGGAUUCUCGUCCUCCGUAAUCACUCCCAGAAUUAGCAUGUAUCUGUCAAACCUCCAUGACCCUCCUUUUAGAACUCUUUGAAUGUCAACUUGAUGGUAGAACCGGAAUAGGAAAGUUCCAUUGCCAAUAUAUGAAAUGGUAACUCCUUUAAGAGGCUUCCAUAUAUUUGCCAUUAAUUAUUUCCUUCAUAAUUUAGACACAUAGAGGUCUGUCAGCUAAAAACCUGCCCACUAAACAUAGAGCAGGGUUGAAAUCAUGGUUGAUAUUAUCUUCUACGGGAAUCUCCAAACCUCAACAUCAUUUUCUUCCAUAUUUAGGUCAUUGAUAGGUGGAUCUUCCAUGAUGAAGGGGAUAAAGGUAAAGUGUGUGAAAGGUUAUCUCUGAACAAAGGGAAAAGAUCAAAUCUCACAGAAGGAAGUGAAUCACACAUAACAGGAAAGUCUUGAUAUCACGGGGGUAAUAGGGAAUUUCUCCAGUUUGAGAGAAAA